rnacentral:lncRNA from 1 species
ACCUGGGCAGCUGGGGCCUCUUAAGCUGACCGAGCGAAGGUAGAACAUUACGAUGUCGCGUGCCGUUGUGACACGAAGUUCCGUCCCCGUGUCCAGCUGCCGUGUACCAAAUGACCUGCAUGCCAGCGAUAAUAACGAAGCGGAUAGCCGGGAGGGACGUCUUACAUGGCUUCCGCAUGCUCAGAUAUUUUAACGGUGAACACUGUGCGUAUCAAAAACCCUGCUUUUGCAGUUGCAACGGGUGUAACACGUUUUGGUUCGAAGGCCUCUUCACACCUCGAUAACCGGCGAGGAGCGCUAGAACCUGAUGUGAUCGCGACACACGUGAAUGACAUACAAGUGCACGAGAAGCCCCAGAGUCUCGUUGAGCGUAAAUCCUGCGAACUGGAUGAUCUCAGGCAGUCAGGUGUAAGCCCUGGAGCCCAGAUGAAACUGACACACUUUCGAGAAGCAUUCGACCUCGCUGCCCUUGUCUUCACCAUGAGAAAGGACGCGGCCAGGCGAUGCGCUGCUGGAGAGGAAAAUGAUUGUCAGUCUAUGCAAAACUUGGAAAUGCUCGGUCUGGCGGAACCAAACCCGAUGCCACAGAUCGGCUCCUUUCACCUUUCUUCCUCCUGCUUUGAGGUGGGUGAUGGAGAAGGGGAUCGGCUCGGGAUCAGAGGACGUUACAAGCGUAUAAGCCGACCAUAUGGUAGUCCACUGACUCGUGUGACGCCCACAAAACAAGGAGAUUUGGCAUCAAUGCGUAAGUCAUCCGACGCUACAGACUUUUCCUCGUCAGUUUCUCGGGCGAUACUGGAGGGAGAAGAGACCAGCGUUCAAUACACCGCUGGAGGCCAUCGGAGAAAAACACUCACACAAGAUCGUUUACCGGUGUUUACGGAGACUGGCAUGCAUAAUAAGGCUUUUGCGGCGGCGGGUGCCAAGGCUAGGAUUUUCGACCUUAUCAAAAACUUGUUCGGCAGUGGAUCGGACAUAACCGAUGCAGACAACUUCGAAGGCGGCAACCAAGGAUCGUACUUCGACUUUAUGUACCCGUUAAGCACGGACUAUCCGUGGGCAUGUGUAUGCGAUGAAGGUCAGUACGUUCAAUGGGAAGCAAACGAAAUUCAAGCUGUUCCUUGCCGUAACCAGGUAGACAUGUCAGCCCAAGGAAUCACAGCGGCCUGCAAUCCAUCUUUGCAUAAAAUGAAUCACGCCGCGAUGACCACCAAAGGGUGGCAGUCAGCAGUGUGUUCCGUCAUCUCAAUCUCAGUUGGCUUCUGGUUCGUCUGAGCGUGGGCCCGUUGCUUACUCAAGUUGUUUGAAACAGUGCGAAGUUCGCCAUCUUAGUCGCCAGGCAAUACGAGCUUCUAAGUCGGUUGGGGGAGACCUAAACAAUACGUGUUGCAUAUAAUGGACAGCCUUCGCUCAUCUCUUCAGUUUAAU